rnacentral:lncRNA from 1 species
AAUUAGGCUACUAUACUAUCUAUAGUAACGGAGCUCCGGUACUAUAGUCUUGUUUUCGAUCUUAGGGUGUUCAAAUUAACAAUCCACACCGUUAAAUAUGAUCUAGGGUAUAUAAAGUUCUAUGGAAUAAAAUUUUAGUUUUUUUCGACAUCGUUUAUUUGGUAAAUAAAUUAUGUCAAAAUGGACGAUGGAAAUUGAAUAAUCUUUAAAAUUUGAGCAUAGGACUUUUAAAUUCAAGAUCAAGAAUGUUAAUCUUAAUCUAGAUAGUUUAAAGUAUUUUCUAUCAAAAUUUGAAGAAAUUUAGAUUCUUCUACACCGUUAAACACCAAACUCGCCAUAGUAGCCAUUAAAAAUUGACAAUUUUGAAAUGGUUAGAUCAUAAAGUAAACUAUAUCGAAAAAAUAUAAAAUUUUAUUUCUAAAAACUUUAAAUACCCUAGAUCAGUUUUAACGGUGUGGAUCAUUGAUUUGAACACCCUAAAAUCGAAAACGAGACUAUAGUACCGGAGCCCCUGUACUAUAAAUAGUAUAGGAGACUCUCUCUCUCUCUCUCUCUCUCUCUCUGAGCCCCUGUACUAUAAAUAGUAUAGGAGACUCUCUCUCUCUCUCUCUCUCUCUCUCUCUCUCUCUCUCUCUCUCUCUCUCUCUCUCUCUCUCUCUCUCUAUAUAUAUAUAUAUAUAUAUAUAUAUAUAUAUGCUAGGGCUACUACACUCUUAUGAGCAUAGAGCCCUUCGUACUCAUAAGUUGUUUUCGAUGAUGGGUCUUCCGAAUCGAUGAUCCAUACCGUUAAAUAUUAUCUUGAACAUUUAAAACUUCUAGAAAUCAAAUUUCAUAAUGUUUCGAUAUCAUUUACCUUACGAUCAAAAGCUCACAAAAUUGACAAUUUUUAACGACCGGUAUGGGAUACUUGCUAGUUUAACGGUGUAAAAGAAUCGGAAUAGGUUGAAUUUUUGAUAGAAAAUUCUUUUCACUACCUAGAUAAAAUCAAUAACUCUGAUCUUAAAUUGAAGGAUCCGAUCAUCCAUUUUUAGGACGUCGUUCGAUUUUCACCGUUCAUUUUAUGCCCGCUUGAUGGACUUUAUUAUGAUUUCACAAAAUUAUGAAAUUUAUUUUUUAAGGUAUCGUUUGGUUCGGGGAUAAGCAAAAAGUGGCUAUUCCAUGGAUAGAUAUAAAUUGGGGUAUAAGCAGGGAUUAGAUCAAUUUUGCGUUUGGAUGAAAAUUGGGUUAUUCCUGGGGAUAAAAAAAAUAGCAUUUGGUUAGGUAAGCUGAAAUAAGGAGGAUAGUGAUUUUUAAUAAAUAAAAAAUAAUGAUAUUACCCUCUUAUUAUAUUUGAAUUUGAAUUUUUAAAUUUUUAAAUUUAUAUUUUUAAAUUAAAAAUUUUAACUUUGAAAUUUCAAAAUUUGAAAAUAAAAUUUAAAAUUUAAAAUCUCAAAUUUUAAAUUCAAAAUUUUAAAUUUUAAAUUUCAAACUUUAAUUAAGAUCAAAUUUAAAUUUGAAAAAUAUAAAAUAUCAAAUUUUAAAUUUCAAAAAUUUAAAAUAUCAAAAUUUAAAAUAUCAAAAUUUAAAAUUUAAAUUUAAAAUUCAGAAUUUAAAAUUAUAAACUUUAAUGUUGAGAUUACAAAUUAUAAAUUUUAAAAUUUUUAAAUUUUAAAUUUUUAAAAUAAGAAUAGAGGUGGGAACAAUUAAUAAAAAUAAUUUAUUAUAAUAAAUUUAUAAUUUUUUAAAAAAUUCUACUUAAACUUAUAUUUAAUAAAACAAAUUUUUAUAAUAUUUAAAUAUAAUUUAUUAUAAAAUUUAUUAUAAUAUUUAAAUAUAAAUAAUAUGUAUUAAUAUAGUAUAAUUAAUAAUUUUAUAAUAAAAAUAAUGUAUUAUAAAUAAUAAUAAACAAUUAUAUUUAAUAUAAUUAAUUUAAAUUUAAUUUAUAAUUUUAAAUUAAGUUUGAAAUUAAGUAUUGGAAUAGCAAAUCCCUUGCUAUUCCGGGAUAACCGGGAGUAAUCAUGGUUGACCGGAUAAAAUAUUCCGGUAAAACUCAUCCCGCGUUUGGCCGGAAUACGUGCGGGAUAAGGGCCUAAAAGUUAAAUACUUUAAGAUCAUAUUUAACGGAGUAGAUCGUCGAUUCGGAAGCCCCAUCAUCGAAAACAACUUAUGAGUAGAAGGGUCCUAUACUCAUAAGUAAUAGUAGCCCUAGCCUAUAUAAAUAUAAAUAUAUAUAAUAUUAUAUAUAUAUAAGGAAGAAGAGUUGAGCUGGAAUGCUAUCAAUAGAAAGUGAGCUCCGUUCCACACAUUUGCUUUCAAUGAUGGAGCCUCAAAUUGACGAUCGGCACCGUUGAACGAUCUAUAACCACUUGAAGUACCUAAAAACUAAAUUCAUAUUUUUCAAUAUUAUUCCUUGGUCCAUCAAGUGGGCACAAAAUAAACGGCUGAAAAUGAGUAUCUUUUAAAAGUGAUGAUAGAGUCUUGUAAUAAGAUCAAGAGUAAGAUCUGUUCUAAAAUAGUUUAAAAAAAUUUCUAACCAAAAUUCAAUUGAUUUGGAUAUAUUUACAUUGUUAACGAGAAAACUUACUUAUAUCGAUCAUUAAACUUAAAAUUUGAAACCCUUUGAAUAUUUAGGCCAAUGAUGUCGAAAAAAUUUAAAUUCUGUUGUUAGAUACUUCAAGUGGUAUAGAUCAUGUUCAACGGUGCCGAUCGUCAACUUGCAGACUCCAUCAUCGAAAACAAAUGGAUGGCAACGGAACCCGUUUGCUACUAAUAGCAUUCCAGCUCAACUCUACAUAUACAUACAUAUAUAUAUAUAUAUAUAUAUAUAUAUAUAUAUAUAUAUAUACAUGUAUAUAUAUAUGUAGAGUCCGACUACUAUACUUUUAUGAGUAUUGACUCCAUUAUACUCAUAAUUUUUCGGCCCUUAGAUUUAUUCCAUUGAUCAUUUUCACCCGUUAGAUCAUACUAUUCAACCAACUACCCACUCAACCCUAGGGGAACUACUAUCAUUCUAAACGGGGACCACCAUCAUCCUAACCACACAUCCGAUCAAUCAACGGUUAAAAAUUUAUAAGUACAAGAGGUUCUAUACUCAUAAGAGUAUAGUAGCCCUAGCCUAUAUAUGUAUAUAUAUAUAUUUAUAUAUAUACAUAUAUAUAUAUAUAUAUAUAUAUAUAUAUAUAUAUGUCUAUAUAUACAUGUAUAUAUAUAUGUGUAUAUAUACAUAUGUAUGUGUAUGUAUGUAUAUAUACACAUGUGUAUAUACAUGUGUAUAUAUACACAUGUAUAUAUAUACAUAUGUAUAUGUAUAUAUAUACAUAUGUAUAUAUAUUUAUAUAUGUAUGUAUGUAAUUGAGCUCCUACAUACCUACAUACAUACAUACAUAUAUAUAUAUAUAUAAUUGAGCUCCUAUGCUUUUAAAAGUACCAAGUGAUUGGUGCUUGUAGAUUUUUGACCAUUGGAUUAAGGGAUGUGCAGUUAGGAUGAUGUGGGACCCCUAGGGUUAAGUGGGUGGUUGGUUGAAUAGUAUAAUCUAACGGGUGGAAAUGAUCAAAAGGAUGGAUCUAAUGAUAAAAAAUUUACAAGCACCAAGUACUUGGUACUUUUAUAAGCACCAUAGCCAGACUCGAUAUAUAUAUAUAUAUAUAUAUAUAUAUAUAUAUAUAUAUAUAUAUAUAUAUAUAUAUAGAAUUAGGCCACUAUACUAUCUAUAAUACCGGAGCUCCGGUACUAUAGUCUUGUUUUCGAUCUUAGGGUGUUCAAAUUAACGAUCCACACCGUUAAAUAUGAUCUAGGGUAUAUGAAGUUCUUAGGAAUAAAAUUUUAGUUUUUUUCGACAUUGUUUACUUAGUAAAUAAAUCAUGUCAAAAUGGACGGUGGAAAUUGAAUAAUCUUUAAAAGUUGAGCAUAGGACUUUUAAAUUCAAGAUCAAGAAUGUUAACGUUAAUUUAGAUAAUUUAAAGUAUUUUCUAUCAAAAUUUGAAGAAAUUUAGAUUCUUCUACACCGUUAAACUCCAAACUCGUCAUAGUAGCCAUUGAAAAUUGACAAUUUUGAAAUGGUUUGAUCAUAAAGUAAACUAUGACGAAAAAAUAUAAAAUUUUAUUGUCAAAAACUUUAAAUACCCU